GGCGGAGAUUCUAUCGGUGCAUCAACUGCAUGGUUAGAUGCUGAAGUCUCUAUUAUCUUCAUUUUUUUAAAAUUUUUAUUGAUUUAAUUUUUUCAUGAUUUGAAUGUCAGCUAUUAUAGACGAUGAGAAAGGCUUCAUCUAGGAUGACACAGGGGAUUUCAACAAUUUAGUCCAGUUAGAGUUGCGUUGAUAAUGAGUUUGAAUUUUAUAAAAAGAGCUUAGAGACAUGCAGAAUGGAAUUAGCAAGUUGUUAGAUGCAGAAGAAGAAGUAUCAGUGGUGUUUGUACUUGC
rnacentral:lncRNA from 1 species